AGCGGACUGGUGUAAUGGAAACAUAAUUGGCUCAUGACCAAUCGUAAGAGGUUCGAUUCCUUUGUCCGCAU
rnacentral:tRNA from 2 species